GGAGGGGUUACAGGAGGGGUUAAAGGAGGGGUUACAGGAGGGGUUAAAGGAGGGGUUACAGGAGGGGUUAAAGGAGGGGUUACAGGAGGGGUUAAAGGAGGGGUUAAAGGAGGGGUUACAGGAGGGGUUAAAGGAGGGGUUACAGGAGGGGCUGCGGUGCUUAGUGAGGAAUUUUAUCUGUAAAUGGCAGCGGAGGGGAAGGGAGCCCUGCCAUCCGCGGCUGUGCGGCCUCCAGAGCCCCAGCCAAGCUGGCAGCGGUUCAGCAGAGGAUUGAGCAUCGCUCCUGAAGAGGAGAGCCCUGAACAAGGGAUGGUUUGUGAGCCGCUCGUCUCCCUCAAGAGCUCCUCUCUUUUCCCGUAUGGCUGCGUGUGGAUCCCUGGAAAAGCAGCUGGAGCAGCGCCUGCCUCCCCUCCUGCCUCCAGCCUCGUUUUCUGGCUCUGCCUGGAGCAGCCAGGCUCAGGGUGGCCUCCCUGAAGAUGCAGCCUUGUCCUUAUCUCUUGAGUCACCCAUGAACCCAGCCCGUGUCAGUUCUGGCCUGAAACGUGAGCCAUUCAUCAAGUUCUAAAACAACAUCCUGGAAAAAGGAUGUUGGCUCGUGCCUGUUUGACCAUGGGGAGACGCUGCCCUGACUCACACGGGAGAAUCCCAAAUAUGACAUUGCAAAAUUCAGUGCUGAUAUUUUUGGGGUUUGUUCGCCGGUCAAAUUACUCAUUUCCAAAGAAUUGGUUUCUGUUUGGAAACAAAGUGCAAAGCACUAAAAUUUGUUGUGUGUGUCUUAUUUGUAAGGCCCUGGAGCAGACUGAUUUCCAUCUCCUUUUUAUGUUUUUAAAUUAAAGGCUGCUCC
rnacentral:lncRNA from 12 species